rnacentral:tRNA from 1 species
GCACUGGAGGUUUAGGGUAGAAUUCUCACCUUCCACGUGGGAGACCUGAGUUCAAUUUCUGCUAAUGUA